CAAAGGUGGGCCUCUGAGGUGGGCCGACAUCGAGGAAGGAUUUAAGCUGGUGGCAAAGGUUUUUGUCUCUCUUUUGGACUUCCGUUUUGGAGCAGACAUGGCUUUUCCAUAAUAGUACUUUGCAGAGGACUCCUAGGUCCAGCUAGAUUUUGUCAGAGAGAUUGAUGGAGAGAAGAGCAGAUGUGAAUCCCAUUUUCUUGAGCAGACAGGGAACAUUUUAAAUGGAGAUGGAAGAAGAAGUUUGAUGAAUUGCAGUUAAAGAAAAAUAACACCUCGAACCAAAAGCUUUUUAUACU
rnacentral:lncRNA from 1 species